rnacentral:rRNA from 1 species
AUUGAACGCUGGCGGCAGGCUUAACACAUGCAAGUCGAGCGGAGUGAUGGUGCUUGCACUAUCACUUAGCGGCGGACGGGUGAGUAAUGCUUAGGAAUCUGCCUAUUAGUGGGGGACAACAUCUCGAAAGGGAUGCUAAUACCGCAUACGUCCUACGGGAGAAAGCAGGGGAUCACUUGUGACCUUGUGCUAAUAGAUGAGCCUAAGUCGGAUUAGCUAGUUGGUGGGGUAAAGGCCUACCAAGGCGACGGUCUGUAGCGGGUCUGAGAGGAUGAUCCGCCACACUGGGACUGAGACACGGCCCAGACUCCUACGGGAGGCAGCAGUGGGGAAUAUUGGACAAUGGGGGGAACCCUGAUCCAGCCAUGCCGCGUGUGUGAAGAAGGCCUUAUGGUUGUAAAGCACUUUAAGCGAGGAGGAGGCUCUUUUGGUUAAUACCCAAGAUGAGUGGACGUUACUCGCAGAAUAAGCACCGGCUAACUCUGUGCCAGCAGCCGCCGUAAUAC